GUAUUAGUUAUUUUCUUAAAACCCAAAGGAUUUGGCGGUAUUUUAUUCUAUUUAGAGGAACCUGUUCUUUAAUUGAUAUUCCACGAUUUUAUUUACUUAAUUUUGUAUUCAGUUUUUAUACCUCCGUCAUAAGAGUGUCUUGUUAGAGUUAAUUCUCUUGAUUUUUAAAAGAUAAAGAUGGCAGGUCAAGGUAAAGCUUAUAAUUAAGUGGAAAUGGGUUACAAUAAUAUUAUUUAUACGGAUUCUUUUAUUUAUAAAUUAGUUGAAGGUGGAUUUAAUUGUAAAUUUAUUUUUUAGGUUUUUUGAAAAUUUAGCUCUAAAAUAUGUACACAUCGCCCG
rnacentral:rRNA from 1 species